GACGAACGCUGGCGGCGUGCCUAAUACAUGCAAGUCGAGCGCAGGAAACCAGAUGACCCCUUCGGGGUGAUUCUGGUGGAAUGAGCGGCGGACGGGUGAGUAACACGUGGGCAACCUGCCUGUAAGACUGGGAUAACUUCGGGAAACCGGAGCUAAUACCGGAUAGUAUUUCCUUUCUCCUGAUUGGAAAUGGAAAGACGGUUUCGGCUGUCACUUACAGAUGGGCCCGCGGUGCAUGAGCUAGUUGGUGGGGUAAUGGCCCACCAAGGCGACGAUGCAUAGCCGACCUGAGAGGGUGAUCGGCCACGCUGGGACUGAGACACGGCUCAGACUCCUACGGGAGGCAGCAGUAGGGAAUCUUCCGCAAUGGACGAAAGUCUGACGGAGCAACGCCGCGUGAGCGAUGAAGGCCUUCGGGUCGUAAAGCUCUGUUGUUAGGGAAGAACAAGUACGAGAGUAACUGCUCGUACCUUGACGGUACCUAACCAGAAAGCCCCGGCUAACUACGUGCCAGCCGCCGCCGUAA
rnacentral:rRNA from 1 species